rnacentral:rRNA from 1 species
UUUACGGUCAAAAAGGACGAUGACUUAGUGGCGGACGGGUGAGUAAUGCAUGAGCAACCUGCCUUGGGAAGGGGGACAACAGCUGAAACGGCUGCUAAUACCGCAUAAAGUCACCGGGAGGCAUCUUCCGGAGACCAAAGAUUUAUCGCUCUGAGAUGGGCUCAUGUCUGAUUAGUUAGUUGGCAGGGCAACGGCCUACCAAGACUGCGAUCAGUAGCCGGACUGAGAGGUUGAACGGCCACAUUGGGACUGAGAUACGGCCCAGACUCCUACGGGAGGCAGCAGUGGGGAAUAUUGGGCAAUGGGCGAAAGCCUGACCCAGCAACGCCGCGUGAAGGAAGAAGGCCUUCGGGUUGUAAACUUCUUUUGUGGGGAACGAAGGAUGUGACGGUACCUCACGAAUAAGCCACGGCUAACUACGUGCC